CUAUGUUGCGUAAGCUGGCAGCAGGGACACAGAAAAGUGCUAGUUUAGUUUUGUCACUAAAAGAACAGUCUUUGGAAAAGGAAUCACUGGUGGACAGUUGAAGUUGGGUGCAAAUUUACUGAAGAAGCUGAAGGAGAUUUAUUUCUCUCCCUGUGAGCACUGUUAAGAGAACACAGUACAAGAGAUACCAUUGCUCACAGCCACAUUCCCUCAUCAGGACUGCAGAUAAAAAGUGCAACUGUUCCCACAGAGAAGAGAAGAAGUUACGAGAAAAGGAUCAGAAAGACAACUGCUCUUUCCCAGAGCUGUUUCUGUCUGCUUGUUGACCAAGGUGACCUUCCGUCUCACAGGGCUUAUUUGAUAAGUAUCUCUGCCACAGUCCUACUUUAACAAAGGUAAACCCUCCAAAACAGCAGUUUCUCCUCCAAAAAAAGUUUCUCCAAAAUAAGCAUCUCCUCCACACAACUCUCCUGUCCAGGUUUCCAGGUCAAAGAGAGACAGGGACCCAGGCAAGUUUUCAUUUUCCUCUUGAACAUGGC
rnacentral:lncRNA from 1 species